UUUCUACGUGCGUCAUCGUCCAGUACGGAGGGAUCGGUUAUAUUUUUAAAGAAUUAACAUUAUUUCUGUGUUUAAUCAUUUAAAUUAAUAUAUUUAUUAAGUAAAUCACGACCUAUGCGGAGAGAGAGCUCGCAAAUUGCUAUUUGCUUGCACGUAUUUCGAACAGUGAUCGUGUGACGCGAGCUAUCUACCCCACACACUGGAAGCAAAAAUAUCCAAAGCGGAGCUUGAGAAGGCGCCGAGGAGUUGCGCAAGAUUCUUGUUCGCAACGAAGCAGAUGUUACUGGACCAUUGCAAAGUACAUUUCGACGUGUGCACCGAAACGACGCUCAGGAAAUGUCCCCAAGGAACAUCCAUAGACGAGUUCGUUUCACCACCAAUAUUCACCAUCAGAGGGAUACUUUGUACAAGUCGUCUGCAGAGGUACCCACCUCUGUUCCACCCGUGUUCUCGCCGUGAAGCAGCUGCGCUCUCAUGGCUGUUUCGACUCGAAGAAAGGGAUAUGGCAGGGAGAUCACAGGACUCGGAGGCACAACACUAUAGUCCUCGAGGGGGGAAGGGAUUGUUAGUAAUGCGGACUAUCGGUCCCAUUGCUAACAAUAUACCCUAACAGGUCGACCUCCACGCGGUUCCCCCUGGAAACCAUCGUGACUAAUCAUUGUUCAAUUGGUCACGAUGGGCCAACUGGCCUGUGUCCAUGGCGCCCCGCCGGCGUGCACCGCUAGCGCGCGCGGAACAGCCAUGGACACCACCACGCCAUUAUUCGUGGUGGAUUUACUAAACUAUUAAGAGUGGUUUAAGUAUUUCAUUUAAUAUUUUUUUUUCUUUUAAUUUAUUCGUCUUUAGCGUAAGGUAUUAAAAACUUGAGAUACAAAGAAGGGCUGGUUUCCUAUGCAGAAUCCAGGUAGAUGAUAUGUCGAGUAAGAUUAUCCAUUUUAAUAUAUUUUUUUUUUCUUCUGUCUUUAGCGUAAGGUAUUAAAACCAUAUAACUAAUGGGAGUAGUUUAAGCAUUUCAUUUAAUAUAGUUUUUUCUAUUACUCGCCAUUGGCAUAAUGUAGCGUAAACAUUAUAACUAGCCUUUUUUUUAUUUUCUUUAUCUUUGACAUAAUUGUAGCGUAAACUUGAUAACUAGACUCGAGUACGUUCCCCACUCGGCUGCGAGGGCUGAUUGGGUGGUCUCCAACGAAGUGGCCGGGUGGAUGGUGUCAAGGGACAUAAGCCAUUACAAAUUUUUCUUUCUUAUUUUAUUCUUUUUUAGCGUAAGGUAUUAAAAACGUAACACAUAUAACUAAAUGUGUGAGUAGUUUAAGCAUUUCAUUUCAUUUUUUUUUAUUUUCUUCGUCUUUGACAUAAUGUAGCGUAAACAUAACUAGACUAUUUUUUUUUUCUUUAUCUUUGACAUAAGUGUAGCGUAAACAUUAUAACUAGACUCGAGUACGUUCCCCACUCGGCUGCGGUGUUCGGGGGCUGAUUGGGUGCUCUCCAACGAAGUGGCCGGGUGGAUGGUGUGUCGAGGGACGUCCGCCAUUACAAAGUUUUAUUUCUCGUUACAUUAAUUCUCUAGCGUAAGGUAUUGGAAACAUAACAUAUAUAUAUACAACUAAAUAUGUGAGUAGUUUAAGCAUUUCAUUUAGUAUAGUUUUUUUUUCUUUAUUUAUAUUUAGCGUAAGGAAGUGUGAUAACUAAUUCGUGUAGCUUCCGACGUGUUCCCGGAAGUUGCUCCUAAUUGUCUGAACAGCAAAGAAUUGUCACUUAAUAUGUAGUUUUAUUUUAUUUUAUUUUAAUUAGUUUAUAAGACGCGUGCAAAAAAAUUAUUAAUAUAUAUAUAUAUAUAUAUAUAUAUAUAUAUAUAUAUAUAUAUAUAUAUAUAUAUAUAUAUAUAUAUAUAUAUAUAUAUAUGUUAAAUGGAGUAAACCAGGUCAACUGUGCUGGUGAGUGCGGCCGGGAUGUGUCCACAGAUCAGGAUAAGCUGAGUGUCCCGCUCUGUGACAUAUACUCGGACACGCACAAACACACAGUCGGACACGAGUCACAUUCAUUAUUAUAGCUUUCAUACAACUUUCUAAUUCUUGUUACACUACAACAUUUGAUAGUCUAAGCUUUUGUUUGUUAGUUUAAAAGUUUAUUAGCGUAAGCGUUUGUUAAUUUAAGCAUUUGUUAAUCAAGCAAAUGUCAGUUUUCGUUUUUUAGUAAUAAUGCAGCUUGCUAGAAAACGAAAGUCUGUUAAUUUCAAGUAACUUUCUUUUGUGAUUCCUUUUCUUAAUUUCUCUAAAUAAAUAGUUUUCAUUUAUA